rnacentral:lncRNA from 1 species
GGAGGCAGUCCUCAUGUGAGUCACCCCGUCAGUCCCUUAUCCUGUCCUCCCAGGCACAGCCCUGGGAUCUUCCGUGGUCGUCUUCACCUCAUUCAAACCUAGUGUCCAUAAAUCUGACUUCCCUGCCCCGUUCCGUGUCUGUCUGUCUGUCUCCAUGGUGAGGCCUCAGUCCUGUACUCAGAGCUUCCUCUGUGUCACCCUCUGGGUCAGGUUUGUCCACAGCCAGGAUUGGGAGGCAGCUCAGCGUGUGGCCAAGGCCCAUGACCCUGACAGUGUCGCCGAGGUGCUUGUGGGACAGGCCCGAGGGGCCUUGGAGGAGAAGGACUUUCAGAAAGCAGAAGGGCUGCUGCUUCGGGCCCAGAGGCCAGGCAUGGCGCUCAGUUAUUAUAAGGAGGCUGGACUGUGGAGUGACGCUCUGCGGAUCUGCAAGGACUAUGUGCCUGGCCAGCUGGAAGCCCUACAGGAAGAGUACGAGCGGGAAGCCACCAAGAAGGGGGGCAGGUAUGAAGCCAGGGCCCCUGGGAGUGUCGGCAGGGCGGGCCUGUGUCACCCAGUGUGCACAGCUGGGCCACACUCCUCUCCGUGUUCCUGGUCAUGAAUACACUCAUCCCCACAGGGGUGCGGAGGGGCUCGUGGAACAAGCUCGGCAGUGGGAGCAGGCUGGAGAGUAUGGCCGUGCGGUGGACUGCUACCUCAAGGUGCGGGGCUCUGGAAGCAGCAGCCCGGUGGAGAGGUGCUGGAUGAAGGUGAGGGCACCAGACUUCCCGGCCCUCCUUCCUCAGGCCGAGCUUCCCUUCUCAGACAUUCAUCUUUAUCCUCCUGUGUCUUUGUUUCCAGUCGGGUAAUAGGUAUCUAUUGAGAGCCUGCUGUGUGCUACAGGCAGAACCUAUAGACCCUAUGAGGUCUAUAAAAGGGGACGUAAGACAGAGCCCCGAUGGCCAGAGUUUAGGGGAUGUUAGAGUAACAUGCGGCUUGGUUGAUUAAUGUUGUAUCUGAGUAAAGACUGAAGUAUAUGAUUUCAUUCAAAGAAGGGUGAGGUCUCCACAGGCUGGAGGGUCAGGAAGGCUGUGAGGAAGGAGCAAGGCCUCAGACAAGGGCCAGGUGGCCAGAUGGAGGCCGUAACGCAAGAAUGGGCUGCUCUUCCUCCACCCACCCGAAAAGAAACCUCCAGCAGAUGAAGCCAGGCCAGUGUGCUUCACUGCUUCUAAGACAAACUGUCUUAGCCAGAGAAGUGGAACCAGUGGGGACUGUGUGUAUAGAGUGUGUGUAGGCAGGUGUGAGGUAAGAAUUGGCUCACACAGUUAUAGAAGUGGGCUAGUCGCACAACCUGCAGCGCCGGAGAGCUGAUGGGUAGUUCCUGUUUGAAGGCCAGCAAGCUUUAGACCCAGGAAGAGUUUAUGGCAGGAAAACAACGUCCCCGUUCAAAGGCAUUCAGGAAGAAAGAAUUCUCUCUUCAGGAAGGGCUAGCCUUUUUGUUCUAUUCAGGCCUUCACCUGAUUGGAUGAAGUCCAUUCACAUUAGGGAGGUCAAACUGCUUUACAAUUUAAAUGUUAGCCCCAUCCAAAAACACUAUUGCAAAUAUCCAAAAUAAUGUUUGACCAACCAUCUGGAUGCCAUAUAUCCUGGUCAAGUUGACUGUCAUAUAUACAUAUUCACCUUUCAAUGC